rnacentral:other from 1 species
UGAUUCCUGGGGUGUUCGAUUUCUUACCAAUUUUGAACCUACAUUUGACAAAAGGGAUUCCAAUAUUUUUAAGCGGAUGUCACGCCUCCGUACGAGUGGAAGGCAGAAGUUUAAGUGAGGUUGCCCACCUAGCAUUGCUAGGCGUCAAUAUGUAAGAGCCGGCACCUUGGGGUCAC